AGAGUUUGAUCAUGGCUCAGAAUCAACGCUGGCGGCGCGCUUAACACAUGCAAGUCGCACGAGAAAAGGGCAACCUGAGUAAAGUGGCGCACGGGUGAGUAACACGUGGAUAUCCACCUCUUAGUGGGGAAUAACGCUGAGAAAUCGGCGCUAAUACCGCAUAAGUCCGAGAGGAGAAAGCAGCAAUGCGCUGAGAGAGGGGUCCGCGGUCGAUUAGCUUGUUGGUGAGGUAAUGGCUCACCAAGGCUGUGAUCGAUAGCCGGCCUGAGAGGGCACACGGCCACACUGGCACUGAAACACGGGCCAGACUCCUACGGGAGGCAGCAGUGGGGAAUCUUGCACAAUGGGGGAAACCCUGAUGCAGCGACGCUGCGUGGGUGAUGAAGUCCUUCGGGAUGUAAAGCCCUUUCGACGGGAACGAUAAUGACGGUACCCGGAGAAGAAGCUGCGGCUAACUACGUGCCAGCCGCCGCGGUAAUAC
rnacentral:rRNA from 1 species